rnacentral:lncRNA from 1 species
GGGACAGCCCCAGGAACAGCAGCCCAGUGUCAGACACAGCCCGGAGCUGCUAUUGCUGCUACUGCAUCAAAUGAGUGGAAAGUCACUAGUCGAGCAUCAUCUGUUAUCACUGCAACCUGGGUCUUCCAGGGCCUUUGGAUGAACUGUGCUGGCAACGCACUGGGGGCUUUUCACUGCAGACCUCACCUUACUAUCUUCAAAGUAGAAGGUGAGACAGAAACAUUCCUUUGUUUGCUGUCUUUUGAGGAAGAGGAUCUGGUUGCUCAUUUUUUAGGCGGUGCUUUGUUCUGCACAAUGCAGAGCACUGUGCAAGCUCCUCACUUACCAUUGUGUUAAUCUCUAAUGUCUGUGCCAGUUUGGGGUGCCCUCCCCAGAUCUAGCAGUGCCAACAGACCUGGCCUUGCCCAGGUGAUGACAUUCUUAUGAGCCUGUCUAUGUUCCCCACAUGUCUGCCUUACUUGUUCCAUAUUCAGAUUCUCAGGGAAACCCUAGCAAACAAGGAAGCUGUCCUUCAGCCUAAGAAAAAUAAACUUGGGGCUUUUUUCUUUUGCA